AGUGAACGCUGGCGGUAGGCCUAACACAUGCAAGUCGAACGGCAGCACAGUAAGAGCUUGCUCUUACGGGUGGCGAGUGGCGGACGGGUGAGGAAUACAUCGGAAUCUACUUUUUCGUGGGGGAUAACGUAGGGAAACUUACGCUAAUACCGCAUACGACCUACGGGUGAAAGCAGGGGAUCUUCGGACCUUGCGCGAUUGAAUGAGCCGAUGUCGGAUUAGCUAGUUGGCGAGGUAAAGGCCCACCAAGGCGACGAUCCGUAGCUGGUCUGAGAGGAUAAUCAGCCACACUGGAACUGAGACACGGUCCAGACUCCUACGGGAGGCAGCAGUGGGGAAUAUUGGACAAUGGGCGCAAGCCUGAUCCAGCCAUACCGCGUGGGUGAAGAAGGCCUUCGGGUUGUAAAGCCCUUUUGUUGGGAAAGAAAAGCAGCAGGUUAAUACCCCGCUGUUCUGACGGUACCCAAAGAAUAAGCACCGGCUAACUUCGUG
rnacentral:rRNA from 1 species